rnacentral:tRNA from 1 species
UAGCACAGCCUGGUAGUGCACCUGGUUUGGGACCAGGGGGUCGUAGGUUCGAAUCCUAC